rnacentral:rRNA from 1 species
UACGUAGGGUGCGAGCGUUGUCCGGAAUUAUUGGGCGUAAAGAGCUCGUAGGCGGUGUGUCACGUCGUUCGUGAAAACCUGCAGCUUAACUGUGGGCGUGCGGUCGAUACGGGCAUCACUGGAGUUCGGCAGGGGAGACUGGAAUUCAUGGUGUAGCAGUGAAAUGCGUAGAGAUCAUGAGGAAGACCAGUGGCGAAGGCGGGUCUCUGGACAGUUCCUGACACUGAGGCACGAAGGCCAGGGGAGCAAACGGG